rnacentral:rRNA from 1 species
AGUGAACGCUGGCGGUAGGCCUAACACAUGCAAGUCGAACGGCAGCACAGUAAGAGCUUGCUCUUACGGGUGGCGAGUGGCGGACGGGUGAGGAAUACAUCGGAAUCUACUUUUUCGUGGGGGAUAACGUAGGGAAACUUUCGCUAAUACCGCAUACGACCUACGGGUGAAAGCAGGGGAUCUUCGGACCUUGCGCGAUUGAAUGAGCCGAUGUCGGAUUAGCUAGUUGGCGGGGUAAAGGCCCACCAAGGCGACGAUCCGUAGCUGGUCUGAGAGGAUGAUCAGCCACACUGGAACUGAGACGCAGUCCAGACUCCUACGGGGGGCAGCAGUGGGGAAUAUUGGACAAUGGGCGCAAGCCUGAUCCAGCCAUACCGCGUGGGUGAAGAAGGCCUUCGGGUUGUAAAGCCCUUUUGUUGGGAAAGAAGAGCAGCAGGUUAAUACCCCGCUGUUCUGACGGUACCCAAAUAAGAAGCACCGGCUAACUUCGUG